rnacentral:rRNA from 1 species
UACAGAGGUGGCAAGCGUUGUUCGGAAUUACUGGGCGUAAAGGGCGUGUAGGCGGUCUUCUAAGUCAGACGUGAAAUCCCCCGGCUUAACCUGGGAACUGCGUCUGAUACUGGGAGGCUUGAGUAUGGGAGAGGGAUGUAGAAUUCCAGGUGUAGCGGUGAAAUGCGUAGAUAUCUGGAGGAAUACCGGUGGCGAAGGCGGCAUCCUGGACCAUUACUGACGCUUAAGCGCGAAAAGCUAGGGGAGCAAACGGGG